ACAUGUCACUUGUGAAGUGUGUCCAAGGGAUCCACAAGGUAUAAAAAGAGGAAUUUGGCAACACAGUCUUCAAGUUCGAGCUAGCAUUAUAAGAGACUUCGUUGUACCAUGGGCAAGAUGGAACUGAACUUUAGGAGAGAGUGUUGCAGCUUAGACGAUUGUCGUAACAAUCACUCAGAAUCAUAAUUCCAUCCAGGGAAAGCAAACAAGAGAAUGAAGGAGAGGAAAAGUGACCGGCGUUUUUCACCACCCAUCUUGCUAAUAGGCAUGCAGGCUAUUGCAGCAUAUUAAUGAACAACCUUCUGCACGUGGAGUGGAAACGAUUAGAUUCCGUGGCUGACGAGGACCAGACCAACAGCAACUGAUAAAUUUGUAGUGUGUCGACACUUAAUAUCCUUAUUACAGCGAAGAAAUCUGUAAUGAAAUUAGAAACUUUAGCAUUCUACAAUCUAUUUAUACUAAAUCUAUACUAUAUUCAAAAUGGAGUUUUCAAUUUAAAAUCAAUUUCAAA